rnacentral:lncRNA from 1 species
GUUUCUAGGUCUUUUUGUCUGGGUGUGUAUGUGUGCGUGUGUAUGGGUGUGUGUAGACGAGGGAAACGGGAGGGGUAGCGGUGGUCACAAGGGAUAGAGGGAAGUGCAGGGCGGAGGGGGUGGGUGGGGGCAGAGGCGUGCGAGUAGCAGAGAGGGGAGGAAGGAGGGGGCAGACAGAUCAGGGGCAUACUGUACCUUGGAGUGGAUGAAUCAAAGCGUGUGAGAUGGCCAGUGUCUGGGUUGUGUGUGUCUGCAAGGUAGUAGCACAGACAAAUCCACAGUCAGUCACUCAGACACGCACACGGACGUAUGCAUGCGGAGGGCAGGGGUUGAAAUGAUCAGAAACAGUUACAGGAAAGCCAGCAGGGCAGACAGAGGGCAGGAAGGAGGGAUCGACAGAACCAUUGGGGGUAGUGAAAAAAAAAAUUAAGGGGCAUAAUAAAGUGAGGGGCUCAGAGGGGGGUGUAAUCCAGUGUUGCAUGUUUGUCGGCUGACUGGCUGUCCUCGCGUUCGCACACCUUCUCUUUCCUCGCCAUCCCCUUCCCAGUCCGCCUGGCUGGCCUACCUCGCUUGCUCCUUUGCGUGGAAGAAGGGAAAAGGGCAGUGGCAGGGAAAGAAUCACCUAUGGCUGCUCGACCGGCACUUGGCCACGCAUGACAUCACAUCCAAACACAGGGCAGUGGGUGGAUUGGAGGACAGUUAAGAACCAUCUUCAUUUCCUCCUCCCCCUCCUGCUCCAUUGAUCUCUCCUUGUCUCCUGGAAACAAGAAGAAGACCAGCAGAAUAAGCCAUACUGGAAAUGGUAUAAAGUGUGUGUUAUGGAUUUUUAUCUGAUUCUGCAAGUAACAGCUAAUUUCAAUACUGACUAAUAUGUACAUUUCCCAAGACCUAGGAAACACUGUCAUAUUGCUUGUUUUGACCAACAGCACAGCAUAAGCCUAAUAUCCUUACAUUUGAAGAACUGGAUCAGCAUUUUUACUUGAAAAAUAAAAUGAUUAUCAAAAUUACUAUUGGUUAAUUUUGAUAAUCAACUUA